GGGCCUGCGGCCGUGCCCCCCCCCUUUGGGCGCUGGGUCUGGGCUGGGUCCUCUGGGAAAAACAGCCUGGCGUGGGAGCAAACCGCAUGGCUGAGAGGAAAUACCUGUCCAGCAGAGCUGUUAAGUGCAGUGAGAUCUUCCACUGGAUUGUGCAAAGAAAAGACAAAGAGUACAGUAGUGCUGCUUUGACCUGGAUAGAGGCUCAAAUGUCUUCCUGCAUACUGGACUGCAUAAACUUCAGAGUUUUAAGCACUGCACAAUUUUUCAUUAGCCAGUGAUGGAACAGUUUGCAAACUUGCUUGUGGCUUCUGCAUCCAGAUCAGGAGCAGUGCGUGCAGAGCUGCUGCACAGCUGAGGAUGAA